rnacentral:lncRNA from 1 species
CGGGCGAUGCCCUCAUCCCCUUUGGGACACAUGGAGGCAGCUUGGCCCAUUGCGUGCGGGAUGCUGGAGGACAGGACCACCUCCCAAAUGCUAUCUAUUUCCUGCUGGGAACCUGGCUGGGCCAAGGGCAGGAUUGCAGGGAGCCCCUGCGGUUUCCCGCUUGGACCCUGCAGCUGGCCACUCUGCACGUCAGCUUUGGUGGCUCCCAUGUGGAGGGCCAUGCCUACCUUCUGCCAGGCCACCUGGAGCAUCUCAAGGCCAUUGAGGCCGAACGGAAAGAGCCAGCUCCAAAGCUCCUGCCACUUCCAGAGCCAGAGCCAGUGCCAGCCCCCGGGCUGGAGCCAGCUGCACCUCCAGUCUCACCACGUGUGGUAGAGCUGGAGCCAGCAGCCCCUGAGUCGGCCACUCCAGGACCAGAGCAAGGGCCACCAUUAGAGGCAGCCCCAGAGCCCAACUGCCCCUGGGCCGUGACCACCGAGGACCAGCUGCGGGAGGAGAAGCUGAACAUCUUGGACUUCCCUCCCCAGCUGGUGGCAGAGCAGCUGACGAGGAUGGCUGCGGUGAGCAGAGGAGC